AACGAACGCUGGCGGCAGGCCUAACACAUGCAAGUCGAACGAGAAGCCACCUUCGGGUGGUGGACAGUGGCAGACGGGUGAGUAACGCGUGGGGACGUGCCUUUCGGUUCGGGAUAACCCAGGGAAACUUGGGCUAAUACCGGAUACGCCCUCCGGGGGAAAGAUUCAUUGCCGAAAGAUCGGCCCGCGUCGGGUUAGCUAGUUGGUGGGGUAAAAGCCUACCAAGGCGACGAUCCGUAGCUGGUCUGAGAGGAUGACCAGCCACACUGGGACUGAGACACGGCCCAGACUCCUACGGGAGGCAGCAGUGGGGAAUAUUGGACAAUGGGCGCAAGCCUGAUCCAGCCAUGCCGCGUGGGUGAAGAAGGCCUUAGGGUUGUAAACCCCUUUCAGCGGGGAAGAUAAUGACGGUACCCGCAGAAGAAGCCCCGGCUAACUCCGUGCCAGCAGCCGCAGUAA
rnacentral:rRNA from 1 species